rnacentral:rRNA from 1 species
UGGGAAUGUACCUCUCGGUUCGGAAUAACCCAGGGAAACUUGGGCUAAAACCGGAUACGCCCUUACGGGGAAAGAUUUAUCGCCGAGAGAUCAGCCCGCGUCCGAUUAGCUAGUUGGUGGGUAAUGGCCCACCAAGGCGACGAUCGGUAGCUGGUCUGAAAGGAUGAUCAGCCACACUGGGACUGAGACACGGCCCAGACUCCUACGGGAGGCAG